AGAACGAACGCUGGCGGCAUGCCUAACACAUGCAAGUCGAACGUGAUCCAGGCUUCGGCCUGGUGAAAGUGGCAGACGGGUGAGUAACGCGUGGGAACCUGCCCUGUGGUAGGGAAUAACCGUGGGAAACUGCGGCUAAUACCCUAUGAGUCCUUCGGGAGAAAGAUUUAUCGCCAUAGGAGGGGCCCGCGUCGGAUUAGGUAGUUGGUGGGGUAACGGCCUACCAAGCCUUCGAUCCGUAGCUGGUCUGAGAGGAUGAUCAGCCACACUGGGACUGAGAUACGGCCCAGACUCCUACGGGAGGCAGCAGUGGGGAAUAUUGGACAAUGGGGGCAACCCUGAUCCAGCAAUGCCGCGUGGAUGAUGAAGGCCUUCGGGUUGUAAAGUCCUUUCGGCGGGGAAGAUGAUGACGGUACCGCAGAAGAAGCCCCGCUAACUUCGUGCCAGCAGCCGC
rnacentral:rRNA from 1 species